AUUGAACGCUGGCGGCAGGCCUAACACAUGCAAGUCGAGCGCGCGGCGGACGGGUGAGUAAUGUCUGGGAAACUGCCUGAUGGAGGGGGGUAAAUCUAGGGAAAGGUAGCUAAUACACAAUACGCCCAGAUGUGCACAGAUGGGAUUAGUUAUGAGGGGGGGUAACGGCGCACCAAGGCGACGAUCCCGAGCUGGUGUGAGAGGAUGACCAGCCACACGGGAACUGAGCAACGGUCCAGACUCCUACGGGAGGCAGCAGUGGGGAAUAUUGCCCAAUGGGCGCAAGCCUGAUGCAGCCAUGCCGCGUGUGUGAAGAAGGCCUUCGGGUUGUAAAGCACUUUCAGCGGGGAGGCGUUACCCGCAGAAGAAGCACCGGCUAACUCCGUGCCAGCAGCCGCGGUAAUUC
rnacentral:rRNA from 1 species